UACGUAGGGUGCAAGCGUUGUCCGGAAUUAUUGGGCGUAAAGAGCUCGUAGGCGGUCUGUCGCGUCGGCUGUGAAAUCCCGGAGCUCAACUCCGGGCCUGCAGUCGAUACGGGCAGACUGGAGUUCGGCAGGGGGGACUGGAAUUCCUGGUGUAGCGGUGAAAUGCGCAGAUAUCAGGAGGAACACCGGCGGCGAAGGCGGGUCUCUGGGCCGUAACUGACGCUGAGGAGCGAAAGCGUGGGGAGCGAACAGG
rnacentral:rRNA from 1 species